rnacentral:rRNA from 1 species
UGGGGAAUAUUGCACAAUGGGCGCAAGCCUGAUGCAGCCAUGCCGCGUGUGUGAAGAAGGCCUUCGGGUUGUAAAGCACUUUCAGCGAGGAGGAAGGUGGUGAGCUUAAUACGCUCAUCAAUUGACGUUACUCGCAGAAGAAGCACCGGCUAACUCCGUGCCAGCAGCCGCGGUAAUACGGAGGGUGCAAGCGUUAAUCGGAAUUACUGGGCGUAAAGCGCACGCAGGCGGUUUGUUAAGUCAGAUGUGAAAUCCCCGGGCUCAACCUGGGAACUGCAUUUGAAACUGGCAAGCUAGAGUCUCGUAGAGGGGGGCUAGAAUUCCAGGUGUAGCGGUGAAAUGCGUAGAGAUCUGGAGGAAUACCGGUGGCGAAGGCGGCCCCCUGGACGAAGACUGACGCUCAGGUGCGAAAGCGUGGGGCAGCAAACAGGAUUAGAUACCCUGGUAGUCCAGCGCUGUAAACGAUGUCGAUUUGGAGGUUGUGCCCUUGAGGCGUGGCUUCCGGAGCUAACGCGUUAAAGUCGACCGCCU